CCCCCCCAGGACCCAAUGAGCUAAUUUCACUAGCUCAGAAAAUGUUAUGUUGUUUCUAGUAAAAAGAUUUUGGAGCACAUGACUGUUGACUGUCCACUUCCUCUUGAGGUUUUAUCAGAAGACAAUCUAAUCUCCGAAGACAUUAGCAAUGGUAAUUCAUUCUUUACAGUAAAUUCUUACAGUAUUUAUUCCUGACAUGUCUUUGUUUGCACCUUGUUGGUGAGCAUGUUGAAACCUUCAUCUAAUUACUAUCAGUCAACUCAAGUCCUGUGCAAAGACACUGUUCAACUGCCUCGAUGCUAGCUCAGUUAAUCCACGAUGAUUCAUAACACAGAACCGGUUUGAGCACAAACCGAGUUACAAGGACAGGAGAGAGUGAGGAAGAGUAAAGAAGCAGAAAGGUAGUACCAGGAGAAACACUCACCCACUGUCAUGGACUCUGGCAGACCAGAUGUUGGCAGCACACUGGAGAGUGGAGCAGACUGUGCUGGUGGACUGGACUCCAUGCUGAAACACGUGAAGAGAGGAAUCAGUGGCUUUAGGGACUACAGUACCUGGCUGAGGGUCUGUAGGGUUCAGAGGAAUGAGGAUGUCUGAGCUGCUGUGGUCGGUCAUCACCUUCAGAGGGCUCCAUGUGGACACACUGGGCAGGCUGCCUACCACCACUCUGAAACAAGACAAUUUUUAUCUCAGUUGGGUUUUUUUUCCCAGAGCAAUAAGUAUCUUUUUAGCCCUGUUGUGUCCAACAGGUCAGUUGUGGACAUUUGGGUUUAAAAACUUCAACACAUUUUACAGUCUGUUACAGGGAAUUCAAGACAACUGUGCCUCCACUAAUGCUUUUUGGGAAGUAACAACAAGAAGUGUAAUGUUACCAUGGAUUCAGUGACUGUAUUUGUUUACACUUUGGGAAAUUGUAUAAUGUUAGUUGAUUGAUUUUCUCCUUCUAAAGGCUGCAGCAACUCAACCAAACAAAGUGAGUGAAACACAAAUAUGAUUUUUUUUUUUCUUGGGGCUUUUAUUGCCUUUAUGAUAUAGACAGCUGGUCGGAUUCGAACCUUGGGCCGCUGCAGCAAAGACUCAGCCUCGGUACAUGGGUCGCCAGUUCUACCCACUGAGCUAACCAGGCACCCCCAUUAGCACUUCUUAAUUAAGACUGUAAUGUUUUAUGCACUUAAUGAACAACCUCCAAGGGUACUGUGCUCCAAGCCCACAUUCAUUUCUGUCAGAAUAAUUUUUUAAAUAUGAAAUAUUUCUCUAUUAAAUACGUUUUAGAACUCGA